AGGAAGUCAGUGUUAGCCCCUGGGUCAACCUCCCACUACUCACCGGGGCACAAUGGCGGGAUCAUAACAGCAUUCAAACCCUGGCUUAGUGCUGCCUAAGCCUGGCUCUUGGAAUCCAAGAUUUGUCUGGUAACUAUCCUAAAGCCAUUUGAGUUGUAGAAGGUUCCCUAGAAGACCUUGUCAAGGGAAUGAUGGCUUCAGAUAAGACCAUUGUCUGUCUGCUGGCUGAGAUUGUUUUUCCUUAAAAGGUCUGGAUGCCGAGAGAAAUAACAAUUUGGUUCCUUGGAAAGAGCCCUGGACUGGGAGUUAAGGGACCUGAGUUCUUGUCUCAGUUCUAUUACUGACUCACUGUAUGACCUUGGUGAUUCUUGAAUCUCUCCUUCAGACUUCCCUUUAGGUCUGUUCACCCAUGGAAACAGAGGAUGUACUUGUCUCUGAGCCCGCAUAUCAAGGCUGACUCUUCAAUCUAUCAAUUAAACAUUUUCUUAUGUACCAUGCACUGUGCAAGUCAAUAGGAUUACAAAAUCAAUGAAUGGAAUAAUUCCUAUUUGUCAGGAGUCUACACUCUCUCAGAGAAGGCAAGUACCUAUGUAUGGGCUUGUGCCUGUAUAAAUUAUUCAGAAUAACUAGAAGAAGAACGCAAAUAAAUCAUGCUUUGCAUUUCUUUCUCCAAGCACAAGUAACUGAAACAACUGUCUUGAGACCUAAGGUCCUAAUCUUGUGGGUUCGAGAGGCUGGUAGCUCCUGAAGUCAUAUGCUGUUUAUUCAGCAGGAAAUAAUCCCCACACCAGCUUCUUAGACAAGAUGACUGUCUCCAAGAAGGCAGGACUCAUGAAAGGAUUAACAAGGUCCAAGCCGGGACAGAGCUUGCCAUAGAAGAUGUGGACCUUGAGUGAAUUUUUCUGAUAGCACAGGUCAGGGAUGCAAGUGAAAUAUCUAUUCAGCCAUCUCACAUUUUAAAUAUAUUCCUGAGAGAGUAUAUUAGGAACAAUGGUGGGGAAUAUAUAAAAUUUAAAAGUUUUUGCAAAAUGAAACCAAUGCAGCUAAUAUUAGAAGGAAAACAGUUAAUUGGGGGAAAAAAAAAACCUUUGGUACCAAAUUUCUAUGAUAAGGCUCUCAUAUCCAAGUUAUGUAAAGUAUCCCAAAAGUCUUGUUUGUAGUUUUAAAUUUUAACAACUUCAAAAGUAUAAAUGUUGCUCAUUUACAAAAAGCAUCAUGUCAAAGUUUACUUAAAUUUCUUUUGUACUUGACUAAUUUUGUGAAUUUUGAAUAAUACAUUUUUAACUUUAAUUUUAACAAGGCAGGGCAUUCUGUCACCAAGCGUUGCAUGUAUUAACAGCUUCUCCGUGGCACUUUCUCAAACCAGUGGAUUAGUAAAGGAGGUCCUCUUGCUUGACCACCUGGAUCUCCUGAUAUAUCUCCAUGAAACCUUUUCUUUUGGGAUCAUAUCAAAACUGUCUUAUAUGCAUCAAAAGCUUAUUCUUUGAAUGAUCUUAAGUCUAGGAUUAUGAACACAGUCAUUUUAGUCACUGACCAACAGCUGAUGAAACAUUUUUACAAGGUUCAAAAAUUAACUAGAGUGAUGUAUACCACAAAAUGGUAGUUAUGUUAAAUUUUUUAAAAAACAUAUCAAUGUUUUCAAGUUUUAAAUAAUUAACCUGUCAAUUUUUUUGUAAGAUUGUAGCAUUUAUACUCUGAGGUUAUUAAAGCUUAAAAUAGCACUAAGACUUUUGGGACAUCUUAUAUAAGGAAUAUCUUCAAAUUUAUAAGAAUAACAGCCAUUCCCCACUAAAUAAUUGAUCAAGGCAUGGGAACAGGCAUUUUCAAAGUAAGAAAUCAAAGGGAUCAACAGCUAUAUGAAAAAAUGCUCCAAACCAAUAUUACAAAUUAAAAUAACUCUUAAGGUUCUACUUUAUACCUACAACAUUGGUGAAGAUAGUAAAAAGACAAUUACUGGAGGGAAGAAACAUAGUAAUGAACUUUUGGUGGAGCUUUGAACAAUUCUAGCCAUUCUGGAAAGCAAUUUGAAACUAUAAAGUCACUAAAAUGUACAUACUUUUGAACCAGUAUGCUGUAUCCCUAAAUAAUCAAAGAAAUAGACAGAAGAUCCAUAGAUGUAAAAAUAUUUUUAGUAGCCUUCUUUGUUGUAGCAAAAAACUGGAAACAAAGAAUAUCCCCCUCAACUGGGGAAUAACUAAGAAAUCAUGAUUGCUACCCUUGCCUUUUUUAAUUUAUCUGAAGCAUAAUAAAUUCUG